GACAGAGCCGUAAAGGCGCGCGGGAACAUGGGGCUGUACGCUGCGGUGGCAGGCGUGCUGGCCGGCGUGGAGAGCCGCCAGGGCUCUAUCAAGGGGCUGGUGUACUCCAGCAACUUCCAGCCUUGAUGACUUACAAGCCCUCAAGGGGAAGCAUUUUCUCCUGGACUCCUUGAUGCCGGAGCUGCUGGUGUUUCCCGCCCAGACAGAUCUGCAUGAACACCCACUGUACCGGGCCGGACACCUCAUUCUGCAGGACAGGGCCAGCUGUCUCCCAGCCAUGCUGCUGGACCCCUGCCAGGCUCCCAUGUCAUCGAUGCCUGUGCCGCCCCAGGCAAUAAGACCAGUCACUUGGCUGCUCUUCUGAAGAACCAAGGAUCUUUGCCUUUGACCUGGAUGCCAAGCGGCUGGCAUCCAUGGCCACGCUGCUGGCCUGGGUUGGCGUCUCCUGCUGUGAGCUGGCUGAGGAGGACUUCCUGGCGGUCUCCCCCUUAGAUCCGCGCUAUCGUGAGGUCCACUAUGUCCUGCUGGAUCCUUCCUGCAGUGGCUCGGGUAUGCCGAGCAGACAGCUGGAGGAUCCCGGGGCAGGGACACCUAGCCCGGUGCGUCUGCAUGCCCUGGCAGGGUUCCAGCAGCGAGCCCUGUGCCACGCGCUCACUUUCCCUUCCCUGCAGCGGCUCGUCUACUCCAUGUGCUCCCUCUGCCAGGAGGAGAAUGAAGACAUGGUACCAGAUGCGCUGCAGCAGAACCCGGGCGCCUUCAGGCUAGCUCCCGCCCUGCCUGCCCGGCCCCACCGAGGCCUGAGCACGUUCCCGGGUGCCGAGCACUGCCUCCGGGCUUCCCCCAAGACCACGCUUAGCGGUGGCUUCUUCGUUGCUGUAAUUGAACGGGUCGAGAUGCCGAUGUGAGUGAGUGGGGGCAUGCUUGGGAGGCGCAGGAUGGUACUGGCACAUCUAACAUCUACACUUCUCUAGCUCAGCCUCACAGGCCAAAGCAUCAGCACCAGAACGCACACCCAGCCCAGCCCCAAAGAGAAAGAAGAGACAGCAAAGAGCCGCAGCCGGUGCUUGCACACCGCCUUGCACAUAGCAGAGGCUCCAGGCUGACUCCUUCCUGGUGGGAAAGGAAGAUGCCUGUCCUCUCCGUGGAGGACCCUGGGCCCUCACCGCAGGCAGCAGUUUGCAUUUUGAAAGGUUAUUGGGUCCCUUCCUCGGGCUGUGUUCUUGCUGGUGAGCAAAAGUGUUGCCUGCAGAAAUAAAAUGCAGAACGUACUCUACG
ensembl:lncRNA NSUN5P1 NSUN5 pseudogene 1